GACGAACGCUGGCGGCGUGCCUAAUACAUGCAAGUCGAGCGGACCAAAGGGAGCUUGCUCCUGGAGGUUAGCGGCGAACGGGUGAGUAACACGUGGGCAACCUGCCUGUAAGACUGGGAUAACAUCGAGAAAUCGGUGCUAAUACCGGAUAAUAAAAAGAACUGCAUGGUCUUUUUUGAAAGAUGGUUUCGGCUAUCACUUACAGAUGGGCCCGCGGCGCAUUAGCUAGUUGGUGAGGUAACGGCUCACCAAGGCAACGAUGCGUAGCCGACCUGAGAGGGUGAUCGGCCACACUGGGACUGAGACACGGCCCAGACUCCUACGGGAGGCAGCAGUAGGGAAUCUUCCGCAAUGGACGAAAGUCUGACGGAGCAACGCCGCGUGAGUGAUGAAGGUUUUCGGAUCGUAAAACUCUAGUUGUUAGGGUAAGAAC
rnacentral:rRNA from 1 species